rnacentral:rRNA from 1 species
AGAGCGAACGCUGGCGGCAGGCCUAACACAUGCAAGUCGAACGGACUCUUCGGAGUUAGUGGCGGACGGGUGAGUAACACGUGGGAACGUGCCUUUAGGUUCGGAAUAGCUCCUGGAAACGGGUGGUAAUACCGAAUGUGCCCUUCGGGGGAAAGAUUUAUCGCCUUUAGAGCGGCCCGCGUCUGAUUAGCUUGUUGGUGAGGUAAUGGCUCACCAAGGCUACGAUCAGUAGCUGGUCUGAGAGGAUGACCAGCCACAUUGGGACUGAGACACGGCCCAAACUCCUACGGGAGGCAGCAGUGGGGAAUCUUGCGCAAUGGGCGAAAGCCUGACGCAGCCAUGCCGCGUGUAUGAUGAAGGUCUUAGGAUUGUAAAAUCUUUCACCGGUGAAGAUAAUGACUGUAGCCGGAGAAGAACGCCCGGACUAACUUCGUGCCAGCCAGCCGC